rnacentral:rRNA from 1 species
GCCAAUUAAUUUAACUUGGGAGUCAGAACAUGGGUGAUAAGGUCCGUGUUCGAAAGGGAAACAGCCCAGACCACCAGCUAAGGUCCCAAAAUAUAUGUUAAGUGGAAAAGGAUGUGGCGUUGCCCAGACAACUAGGAUGUUGGCUUAGAAGCAGCCAUCAUUUAAAGAGUGCGUAAUAGCUCACUAGUCGAGUGACACUGCGCCGAAAAUGUACCGGGGCUAAACAUAUUACCGAAGCUGUGGAUUGUCCUUUGGACAAUGGUAGGAGAGCGUUCUAAGGGCGUUGAAGCAUGAUCGUAAGGACAUGUGGAGCGCUUAGAAGUGAGAAUGCCGGUGUGAGUAGCGAAAGACGGGUGAGAAUCCCGUCCACCGAUUGACUAAGGUUUCCAGAGGAAGGCUCGUCCGCUCUGGGUUAGUCGGGUCCUAAGCUGAGGCCGACAGGCGUAGGCGAUGGAUAACAGGUUGAUAUUCCUGUACCACCUAUAAUCGUUUUAAUCGAUGGGGGGACGCAGUAGGAUAGGCGAAGCGUGCGAUUGGAUUGCACGUCUAAGCAGUAAGGCUGAGUAUUAGGCAAAUCCGGUACUCGUUAAGGCUGAGCUGUGAUGGGGAGAAGACAUUGUGUCUUCGAGUCGUUGAUUUCACACUGCCGAGAAAAGCCUCUAGAUAGAAAAUAGGUGCCCGUACCGCAAACCGACACAGGUAGUCAAGAUGAGAAUUCUAAGGUGAGCGAGCGAACUCUCGUUAAGGAACUCGGCAAAAUGACCCCGUAACUUCGGGAGAAGGGGUGCUCUUUAGGGUUAACGCCCAGAAGAGCCGCAGUGAAUAGGCCCAAGCGACUGUUUAUCAAAAACACAGGUCUCUGCUAAACCGUAAGGUGAUGUAUAGGGGCUGACGCCUGCCCGGUGCUGGAAGGUUAAGAGGAGUGGUUAGCUUCUGCGAAGCUACGAAUCGAAGCCCCAGUAAACGGCGGCCGUAACUAUAACGGUCCUAAGGUAGCGAAAUUCCUUGUCGGGUAAGUUCCGACCCGCACGAAAGGCGUAACGAUUUGGGCACUGUCUCAACGAGAGACUCGGUGAAAUCAUAGUACCUGUGAAGAUGCAGGUUACCCGCGACAGGACGGAAAGACCCCGUGGAGCUUUACUGUAGCCUGAUAUUGAAAUUCGGCACAGCUUGUACAGGAUAGGUA